AGACUGACCAUGUACAAGCUGCAGUUGUGCUGAAGGAUGCCACCCUGAAAUGGCUACUCAAGAGUCAUUACUCAAAGGUAAGUCAAUCACUGGAGAAACAGAAGAUCUUAGUCCUUCCUAUGUUUUAGUACAAAGGAGAUGAAACCCAAUGUUGCCACCUGCCAGGAGUGCCACCUAAAAACUCAAUUUACAGACUAUGCAGCAAAGGAUAUUUCAUCCAGUGGAGCUUGCUUGGUGACUCCUGAGAAAAGGCCAAGUCUUCUGGGGCAGGAGUCAAUCAGGUCCAGCGUAAAACAGCCAUAACAAAGCACAAAGGAAAACUUCCUCCCUUAGCCCCAGCAACUUCAAUUUUUAACAAACAUCAUAAUGCU